rnacentral:rRNA from 1 species
AAGAGACAGCAGCAGCCGCGGUAAUACAGAGGCUGCGAGCGUUAAUCGGAUUUACUGGGCGUAAAGCGUGCGUAGGCGGCUUUUUAAGUCGGAUGUGAAAUCCCUGAGCUUAACUUAGGAAUUGCAUUCGAUACUGGGAAGCUAGAGUAUGGGAGAGGAUGGUAGAAUUCCAGGUGUAGCGGUGAAAUGCGUAGAGAUCUGGAGGAAUACCGAUGGCGAAGGCAGCCAUCUGGCCUAAUACUGACGCUGAGGUACGAAAGCAUGGGGAGCAAACAGGAUUAGAUACCCCAGUAGUCCCUGUCUCUUAUAC